rnacentral:rRNA from 1 species
UGGUAGUGUAUUGGACUACCAUGGCGAUCACGGGUAACGGGGAAUUAGGGUUCGAUUCCGGAGAGGGAGCCUGAGAAAUGGCUACCACAUCUAAGGAAGGCAGCAGGCGCGUAAAUUACCCAAUCCUAAUUCAGGGAGGUAGUGACAAGAAAUAACAACUCGGACCUCACACGAGGUUACGGGAUUGCAAUGAGAACAAUUUAAACCACUUAUCGAGUAACAAUUGGAGGGCAAGUCUGGUGCCAGCAGCCGCGGUAAUUCCAGCUCCAAUAGCGUAUAUUAAAGUUGUUGCAGUUAAAAAGCUCGUAGUUGAAUUUCUGGCCGGUCUUGUUUUGGCUCUAUGAGUCGAUUCAAGACCUGGUCAUCCGUAUGGGAAGCUAGCUCGGCCUUCACUGGUCGGCUAGUGGAUCAUACACUUUACUUUGAAAAAAUUAGAGUGUUUCAGGCAGGCAAUUGCUUGGAUACUUCAGCAUGGAAUAAUGGAAUAGGACUUUGACCUAUUUGUUGGUUUCUUGAGGUCAAAGUAAUGAUUAAUAGGGACAGUUGGGGGCAUUCGUAUUUAAUUGUCAGAGGUGAAAUUCUUGGAUUUAUUAAAGACGAACUUAUGCGAAAGCAUUUGCCAAGGAUGUUUUCAUUAAUCAAGAACGAAAGUUAGGGGAUCAAAGACGAUCAGA